AGAUUGAACGCUGGCGGCAUGCUUUACACAUGCAAGUCGAACGGUAACAGGCCGCAAGGUGCUGACGAGUGGCGAACGGGUGAGUAAUGCAUCGGAACGUGCCCAGUCGUGGGGGAUAGCGCAGCGAAAGCUGUGCUAAUACCGCAUACGAUCUAUGGAUGAAAGCGGGGGACCGAAAGGCCUCGCGCGAUUGGAGCGGCCGAUGUCAGAUUAGCUAGUUGGUAGGGGUAAAGGCCCACAAGGCGACGGAUCUGUAGCUGGUCUGAGAGGACGACCAGCCACACUGGAACUGAGACACGGUCCAGACCCCCGUAGGGAGGCAGCAGGUGGGGAAUUUGGACAAGUGGGCGCAAGCCUGA
rnacentral:rRNA from 1 species